UCUUUGAACAACGGACCAGCGGCGGAAGAACUAGCCCAUUACGAAGAGUGUCUUUUUGUCCGCUCCAGGAGUAGAAGAACCUUUAGAUUGGAUAGUGAUGUCUUCAUCAAGUAUUUAUCGAGGGAGGGAUGAAUCGGUUGUUUUUUCCAAGAGAUCAUGAAGAAGAGCACUGAUAAACAAGUUGAUUCGUUCUGAGGGAGCGGAAAAUGAAAAGGUAAGAUUGAGAAAAAGGAGGAGACAGAAUCAGAGGUAGUGGAUAAAACCCUGCAUACAAGUAGGAGUAGAGGGUAUUAAGAAGUAUCUCUAAAUGGCUAAGAGAAACUGCAGAAACAGAAGAAGAAAAAGAAGAAAAAGAAG